GUGCCAGCAGCCGCGGUAAUACGUAGGUGGCAAGCAUUGUCCGGAUUUACUAGGCGUAAAGGGAGCGUAGGUGGCUUUGUAAGUUGGAAGUGAAAUUCCACAGCUUAACUGUGGAGCUGCUUCCAAGACUGCUUAGCUUGAGUAUAGGAGAGGAAAAUGGAAUUCCUGGUGUAGCGGUGAAAUGCGUAGAUAUCAGGAAGAACACCGGGGGCGAAGGCGAUUUUCUGGCCUAACACUGACACUGAGGCUCGAAAGCUAGGGGAGCAAACAGGAUUAGAUACCCUGGUAGUCCUAGCUGUAAACGAUGAUCAUUAGGUGUAGGAGGUAUCGACCCCUUCUGUGCCGAAGCUAACGCAUUAAAUGAUCCGCCUGGGGAGUAUGGCCGCAAGGUUGAAACUCAAAGAAAUUGACGGG
rnacentral:rRNA from 1 species